rnacentral:misc_RNA from 1 species
AGUGUACCAAGUUCCAAGUCAAAUUUAUAGGUACCGAAAAAACUCUAUUAUAAUUCACAUCAGUUUCCAUUGCAAUCUUCAAACAGCGAAUAUUGCUCUCUGAGAAGUGCCAAACUAUUCCUCUAAGACAAUCAUCGAAAGUCGCUCUUUCCCUUUCUAACCCAUACACACUGCUGCUGCGCUCAACGCGCGCUUGCUUCAUUUUGUCCCCUUUGAGCCUCUCUGAACGAGUCGUCUCUCUCUCCCACAGAAAUGGGACAGACAGUGGAUAAAAACAAACGGUAAAUUGUAAAGAAGGCAACGAAAGAAUACCCUGAGAAAAAUACUUGGUCCCGAGAUACAUACAUAUGUAUGUACAUACAUAUGUAUAUUAGUACCACUUAAGAAAACUGCGGAAUACAAAUAAUAUCAACCCAUUUCUGUUUUUCAAAUGAUAUUUUGUGCUUUUGAUGACGGUUUGUAACUUAUCACAUCCAACACUACAAUGCUGCCACUCCUGGUCCUCCUAAUCCUCACGAGUGCUGCUGGUCAGAGUCAGAGUCAGACGAGCACCGAAACGAGCUCCAAUCCACCCAAGGAGUUUAUGACCUCAAUGGCUGAUCGAAUGGAGCUGCUGCUGCUGGACAGGGAGCUGAUCUCAAACCUCGUGCAAUAUGCUGAAGAGUUGCAGGAAAAAGUCGACGUGCUGCAGAGAUGUGCAAAGGCGAUGCAAAUACCUCUGGAGGAUUCCAAGGGCAGGGAGGAGGAGUACCUAUCGAAUCCGCUGCACAGUUUCCAACUCAUCCGACACAUGCACGAGGACUGGAGCCAUUUAGAGAAGUUCAUGCGGCAGCCUGUGGGGCAGGAUCAGAUUAAUUUCCUUAAAAACAAGGCAACGAAAUUUCCUUCAGUAGAAGGGACUGAGGAAGCCACGGAGGCUAUUUAUCGGAUUAUCCUCACCUAUAAUGUGGAGCCAGCGGAUCUCGUAAAGGGGCUAAUCGAUGGCGUACAGUACAACAGUAGCAUUUCAGCCAUCGAUUGCUUCUCUCUUGGAACUCUGUUCUUCCACUUUGGGGAGUACGAAAAUGCAGCCCAAUUUCUACAAUACUCCUUGGACCUGGUAAAACCAGAAUAUUAUUCCGUCAACCAUGUGCUGGAAUUUGAGUCAAGCGAGGUCAUCAUGCUCCUGGCCCGAUGCUCGGUAGAACUGGACAUGGUAGAGGAUGCUCGAAGGAUACUUAUGGGCCACCGUGAUCUGGCGGAGCACUCGGACCGUCUGCUCAACUUCUACACACACACGAGACACGUCCCAGCCUCGUGGGAAGAGAAGCCCUUUCUGCCCCUGGAAUUCAUUCAGAUCUGCCGCUCCUCGCACCAAAAUAAACCCUCGCGUCUGCACUGUCGCUACAAUGCCACAACCACACCCUUCCUGCGCCUGGCCCCGCUACGGAUGGAGGAGCUGUCGCUGGAUCCAUAUAUCGUGGUCUACCAUAAUGUCCUCUCCGACGCGGAAAUAGCCGAAGUGGAGAGAGUUACUGAGCCGCUUCUGAAACGCAGUGUCGUGUUUGAUGGAAAGGGAAAAUAAGAUGUCCACCAGCAAGAAGCGCACAGCCCUGGGAGCCUGGCUCCCCGACUAUAAUAUGGAGGUCUCGGGCUGGCCAGUGAUACAACGUAUCUUCAGGCGCAUACACGACAUGACCGGGUUGAUCAUUAACGAUCAUCAGACCAUGCAGCUGAUAAAAUACGGCUACGGGGGCCACUACGAUAUCCACUUCGACUACUUUAAUGCCUCCAUUCCGAGCAUCCACGCUAUGGGCGAUCGCAUAGCCACUGUCCUAUUCUACGUGAGUUGGUUUCACUUUCUUUUUGAGCUCUGAAUAACUGAAGGUGUUGCUGAACGAUGCGAAGCACGGCGGCUCCACUGUCGAUGGCGCCAAAACGGUCCUGUCCUGAUGGAUACACGAGCUAGAUCAAAUGUUUACCCAACCCACUUAUCGCCCAGGGAAUAGGACGUUUAUUUAUUAAGUUAUAUAAUGUGAGAAGAUUUACGAUACAGGUCUAUUUUUGUAUCAGGCAAUAAAAAAGAAUCAAGAGUUGUGUGGUGUUCCUAACUGUACCUAAUUAGUCCCUAACUGUACCGCCACACUGAAAUAAGUCGAAAUAAACGGUCACUUAAAAAGUAUGUAGAUCGGCUUUCGGCCGAUCGACAAUCCUCGUGUCGCUCUCAUAUUUACUUACAGUGAUGUUCGUGCCUGGUCUUUUGGGGUCCCUAUCUCCUAUAGCCUCUGAGAUCAAGGCGGACGAACUUACAGUUAAAAUGCUUGGCUCUCCGAAUACGGCGUUUCACCGUUACAAAACUGGCACUAACACCGCAUUCUUCCCUGAUUUUGCUGCAGAGCGUUAUUCGUUAUAAUGAUAAGUCGCUUGGCUACUGGUGUAGUCGAGUGCUGAGACCCUAUCACAUUUUUACCAUACCUCGGAUUCUUCUUCAUGACAAAUACAACCAAAUGUUUCGAAAAAAAAAAACAAUUUACUUAUAAGUACAUACAUACGUGCUC